CCUACGGGGGGCAGCAGUGGGGAAUAUUGGACAAUGGGGGCAACCCUGAUCCAGCCAUGCCGCGUGUAUGAAGAAGGCCCUCGGGUUGUAAGGCACUUUCAGUGAGGAAGAACGCCUGGUGGUUAAUACCCAUCAGGAAAGACAUCACUCACAGAAGAAGCACCGGCUAACUCCGUGCCAGCAGCCGCGGUAAUACGGAGGGUGCGAGCGUUAAUCGGAAUUACUGGGCGUAAAGCGCGCGUAGGUGGCUUGAUAAGCCGGUUGUGAAAGCCCCGGGCUCAACCUGGGAACGGCAUCCGGAACUGUCAAGCUAGAGUGCAGGAGAGGAAGGUAGAAUUCCCGGUGUAGCGGUGAAAUGCGUAGAGAUCGGGAGGAAUACCAGUGGCGAAGGCGGCCUUCUGGACUGACACUGACACUGAGGUGCGAAAGCGUGGGUAGCAAACAGGAUUAGAUACCCUUGUAGUC
rnacentral:rRNA from 1 species